rnacentral:rRNA from 1 species
GUGUGGCCAUAGCGGGUGAUAGCCCCGUAUGCGAAAGGGCCUGAUCGAUGAAAUUGAGUAGGGCGGGGCACGUGAAACCCUGUCUGAACAUGGGGGGACCAUCCUCCAAGGCUAAAUACUCCUGACCGACCGAUAGUGAACCAGUACCGUGAGGGAAAGGCGAAAAGAACCCUGGUGAAGGGAGUGAAAUAGAUCCUGAAACCGUGUGCGUACAAGCAGUCGGAGCCCGCAAGGGUGACGGCGUACCUUUUGUAUAAUGGGUCAGCGACUUACUGUUUGUGGCGAGC